GAUGAACGCUAGCGGCAGGCCUAACACAUGCAAGUCGAGGGAGAAGCCCUUUCGGGGGCAGAAACCGGCGCACGGGUGCGUAACGCGUAUGCAACCUACCUUUCACAGGGGGAUAGCCCGAAGAAAUUUGGAUUAAUACCCCAUAAUAUUAUUGGAUGGCAUCAUUUGAUAAUUAAAACUGCGGUGGUGAAAGAUGGGCAUGCGUCCUAUUAGCUAGUUGGAGUGGUAACGGCACCCCAAGGCUACGAUAGGUAGGGGUCCUGAGAGGGAGAUCCCCCACACUGGUACUGAGACAGGGACCAGACUCCUACGGGAGGCAGCAGUGAGGAAUAUUGGUCAAUGGUCGGAAGACUGAACCAGCCAUGCCGCGUGCAGGAAGAAUGGCUUAUGGGUUGUAAACUGCUUUUAUAUGGGAAGAAUAAGGCGUACGUGUACGUUGAUGACGGUACCAUAUGAAUAAGCAUCGGCUAACUCCGUG
rnacentral:rRNA from 1 species